rnacentral:rRNA from 1 species
UAUAGGGUAGGCGUAGCGAAAGCGAGUCUUAAUAGGGCGUUUAGUCGCUGGGUAUAGACCCGAAACCGGGCGAUCUAUCCAUGAGCAGGUUGAAGGUUAGGUAACACUGACUGGAGGACCGAACCCACUCCCGUUGAAAAGGUAGGGGAUGACUUGUGGAUCGGAGUGAAAGGCUAAUCAAGCUCGGAGAUAGCUGGUUCUCCUCGAAAGCUAUUUAGGUAGCGCCUCAUGUAUCACUCUGGGGGGUAGAGCACUGUUUCGGCUAGGGGGUCAUCCCGACUUACCAAACCGAUGCAAACUCCGAAUACCCAGAAGUGCCGAGCAUGGGAGACACACGGCGGGUGCUAACGUCCGUCGUGAAAAGGGAAACAACCCAGACCGCCAGCUAAGGUCCCAAAGUUGUGGUUAAGUGGUAAACGAUGUGGGAAGGCUUAGACAGCUAGGAGGUUGGCUUAGAAGCAGCCAUCCUUUAAAGAAAGCGUAAUAGCUCACUAGUCGAGUCGGCCUGCGCGGAAGAUGUAACGGGGCUCAAACCACACACCGAAGCUGCGGGUGUCACGUAAGUGACGCGGUAGAGGAGCGUUCUGUAAGCCUGUGAAGGUGAGUUGAGAAGCUUGCUGGAGGUAUCAGAAGUGCGAAUGCUGACAUGAGUAACGACAAUGGGUGUGAAAAACACCCACGCCGAAAGACCAAGGGUUCCUGCGCAACGUUAAUCGACGCAGGGUUAGUCGGUUCCUAAGGCGAGGCUGAAAAGCGUAGUCGAUGGGAAACAGGUUAAUAUUCCUGUACUUCUGGUUACUGCGAUGGAGGGACGGAGAAGGCUAGGCCAGCUUGGCGUUGGUUGUCCAAGUUUAAGGUGGUAGGCUGAAAUCUUAGGUAAAUCCGGGGUUUCAAGGCCGAGAGCUGAUGACGAGUCGUCUUUUAGAUGACGAAGUGGUUGAUGCCAUGCUUCCAAGAAAAGCUUCUAAGCUUCAGGUAACCAGGAACCGUACCCCAAACCGACACAGGUGGUCGGGUAGAGAAUACCAAGGCGCUUGAGAGAACUCGGGUGAAGGAACUAGGCAAAAUGGCACCGUAACUUCGGGAGAAGGUGCGCCGGCUAGGGUGAAGGAUUUACUCCGUAAGCUCUGGCUGGUCGAAGAUACCAGGCCGCUGCGACUGUUUAUUAAAAACACAGCACUCUGCAAACACGAAAGUGGACGUAUAGGGUGUGACGCCUGCCCGGUGCCGGAAGGUUAAUUGAUGGGGUUAGCGCAAGCGAAGCUCUUGAUCGAAGCCCCGGUAAACGGCGGCCGUAACUAUAACGGUCCUAAGGUAGCGAAAUUCCUUGUCGGGUAAGUUCCGACCUGCACGAAUGGCGUAACGAUGGCGGCGCUGUCUCCACCCGAGACUCAGUGAAAUUGAAAUCGCUGUGAAGAUGCAGUGUAUCCGCGGCUAGACGGAAAGACCCCGUGAACCUUUACUGUAGCUUUGCACUGGACUUUGAGCCUGCUUGUGUAGGAUAGGUGGGAGGCUUUGAAGCGUGGACGCCAGUUCGCGUGGAGCCAUCCUUGAAAUACCACCCUGGCAUGCUUGAGGUUCUAACUCUGGUCCGUAAUCCGGAUCGAGGACAGUGUAUGGUGGGCAGUUUGACUGGGGCGGUCUCCUCCUAAAGAGUAACGGAGGAGUACGAAGGUGCGCUCAGACCGGUCGGAAAUCGGUCGCAGAGUAUAAAGGCAAAAGCGCGCUUGACUGCGAGACAGACACGUCGAGCAGGUACGAAAGUAGGUCUUAGUGAUCCGGUGGUUCUGUAUGGAAGGGCCAUCGCUCAACGGAUAAAAGGUACUCCGGGGAUAACAGGCUGAUACCGCCCAAGAGUUCAUAUCGACGGCGGUGUUUGGCACCUCGAUGUCGGCUCAUCACAUCCUGGGGCUGAAGCCGGUCCCAAGGGUAUGGCUGUUCGCCAUUUAAAGUGGUACGCGAGCUGGGUUUAGAACGUCGUGAGACAGUUCGGUCCCUAUCUGCCGUGGACGUUUGAGAUUUGAGAGGGGCUGCUCCU